rnacentral:rRNA from 1 species
UACGUAGGGUCCGAGCGUUGUCCGGAAUUAUUGGGCGUAAAGGGCGCGUAGGCGGCAUGUUAAGUCAGCUGUGAAAUCUCCGAGCUUAACUCGGAACUGUCAGCUGAUACUGAUGUGCUAGAGUGCAGAAGGGGCAAUCGGAAUUCUUGGUGUAGCGGUGAAAUGCGUAGAUACCAAGAGGAACACCUGAGGUGAAGACGGGUUGCUGGGCUGACACUGACGCUGACAGCGCGAAAGCCAGGGGAGCAAACGGG